UGACAGGCUAGCUGGGGAGUUAGUCCCUCCCUGCAGCGCAAAUGGACUUUAGGCGCAGUGAAGCGUGGCCGAGGGAUAGUGACUCUAUACAUGGUAGCAAAGCUAUCGUAGAUUUACAGCCCUAUAGGAUGCUCUGGUUUAAAAACCCAGCCAGGCCCGGAAGGGAGCAACUGUAAUUAAGCUGAAGCGUGCUUGUAGGUAAACUGUAAGGAGAAAAUGUUGUUACCCUCUAUAUGGAUAGCUAUUUCGAAGCCAUGGCCUGUCG
rnacentral:SRP_RNA from 1 species